rnacentral:ncRNA from 1 species
CCCUGAAAGUUCUAAAAGCUAAAGGUUUGGUCCCAGCCUUAUUAUCAGUUCUUCUUAAACUUACACAUGCAAGUCUCAGCACACCUGUGAGGACGCCCUAUUACCCUUUCCCAGGCCUAGGAGCCGGUAUCAGGCACUAAUUUAGCCCACCACACCUAGUCUCACCACGCCCCCAAGGGCCUUCAGCAGUGACAAACAUUGUCUAUAAGCGACAGCUUGACCCAGUUAUAAGAAAAAGAGCUGGCUAACUCGGUGCCAGCCGCCGCGGCUAAACCGCACGAGCUCAAAUUGAUAAACAUCGGCGUUAAGCGUGUUUAAAGAACCACCCCAUUAAGGCAAAACCUACACUUAGCUGUGAUAAGCUUGAUGUAAGGGAAAAUCAAAAACGAAAGUUGCCCUAAUCUUCUUGAACCCACGACAGUCGGGACACAAACUGGGAUUAGAUACCCCACUAUGCCCCACCGUAAAAUAUUAACUCACACUAAAAACGCCCGGGUAUUACGAGUUUUAACUUAAAACCCAAAGGACUUGACGGUGUCCUAUCCAACUAGAGGAGCCUGUUCUAUAAUCGACAACCCCCGAUACACCUAACCCCUCCUUGCCAAUCAGCCUGUAUACCUCCGUCGCAAGCUUACCAUGUAAAUGCCUACAGUAAGUUCAAAGAUACACCAUCAAUACGUCAGGUCAAGGUGCAGCCCAUGGUGGGGAAAGCAAUGGGCUACAAUUUCUAAGAUAGAACAUACGAAAUGCUACAUGAAACAACAGCCACGAAGGCGGAUUUAGUAGUAAAGAGAAAAUAAUGUGUUCCCUUUAACUAGGCCCUAGGACGUGUACACACCGCCCGUCACCCUCUUCAACAGACUUUUUACCGCUUUUUAACAAACCCCCUACCUAGAAGAGGCAAGUCGUAACAUGGUAAGUGUACCGGAAGGUGCACUUGGAUCCACAAAAUAUAGCUUAAACAAAGCCCCUCGCUUACACCGAGGAAAUAUCUGUGUAAACCAGAUUAUUUUGAGCCAAAAAUUAAGCCUUAAUAAAUCUAAUGAACCCCAUACUUUUUUAACCUUUUAUAAAACAUUUUUCUGUUUAGUAGAGGCGAUCAAAAAACUUAUAAGCGCUUUAUCUCUAGUACCGCAAGGGAAAAAUGAAAUAGCUUUGAAAUAGCCCUUAAGCAAAACACAGCAGCGAUCACCCCCCGUACCUUUUGCAUCAUGGUUUAGCUAGUCUACUUCAAGCAAAACGAAACAUCAGUUUGACCCCCCGAAACUAAGCGAGCUACUUCAAAACAGCCUAUAGGGCUAACCCGUCUCUGUUGCAAAAGAGUGGGACGAUUUUUAAGUAGUGGUGAAAAACCUACCGAGCCUAGAGAUAGCUGGUUAUUCAAGAAAAGAAUUUUAGUUCAGCCUUAAGUCUUAAUAUUAACUUAAAAAUAUAGGUUGACUUAAGAGUUAGUCAAAUAAGGCACAGCUUAUUUGACAAAGGAUACAACUUUUUAAAAAGGGUAAAAAAUUUUUAACAAUAAAGUGGGCCUGAAAGCAGCCACCUUUAAGAAAGCGUUAAAGCUCCAUUAAGCUCUCAAUCUCAAUACCAAAAUUUAUCUUAAUCCCUUUACUACUAUUGAAUGAUUCUAUACUUUAUAGAAGACCUAAUGCUAAAACUAGUAACAAGAAAUUGAAUUUCUCCAAAACACAAGUAUACAUCAAAACGGACAAACCAUUGAUAAUUAACGCUAAUGAGCCACAUAUAACAACUAUACAAGAAAACACUAUAUAUGCUAACGUUAACCUUACACAAGUGUAUUCCCGGAAAGAUUAAAAGAAAGGGAAGGAACUCGGCAAACUUUAACCCCGCCUGUUUACCAAAAACAUCGCCUCUUGACUAAACAUAAGAGGUCCAGCCUGCCCAGUGACAUAGUUAAACGGCCGCGGUACUCUGACCGUGCGAAGGUAGCAUAAUCACUUGUUCUCUAAAUAAGGACUUGUAUCAACGGCAUCACGAGGGUUAUACUGUCUCCCUUUUCUAAUCAGUGAAACUGACUUCCCCGUGAAGAGGCGGGGAUAAACCUACAAGACGAGAAGACCCCAUGGAGCUUUAAACCCAAUAGCAACCCCCAACAAAUACGACCAUUAAACCCAGAGGCCCUGCUCAUUGGUUUUAGGUUGGGGUGACCGCGGAGUAUAACUAAACCUCCAUGACGAAUAGAUUUCAUCCUAAUCUCAGGGCUACCGCCCUAAGAAUCAAAAAUUUGACGUAAAAUGAUCCGAUAAUCGAUCAACGAACCAAGUUACCCUGGGGAUAACAGCGCAAUCCAUUUCAAGAGCCCCUAUCGACAAAUGGGUUUACGACCUCGAUGUUGGAUCAGGGUAUCCCAGUGGUGCAGCCGCUACUAAAGGUUUGUUUGUUCAACAAUU